rnacentral:lncRNA from 1 species
CGCAGGUGGUCCCCAUUGGGCUCAGCCCCGAGCCAAGGUGGCGCCUGCCGGGAUCCAAGAUUGCGCUGGACGGGCCACUUCCGGUUUGGCGGGUGUCACCUGACCCGCCCCAGUGGGAAAGUGAACUUCCCCCGCCCCACGCGUGUCCCGCCUAGACGAGUAUUGGAACACGCAUGCAUGCGGUCGUGGGGUGGUGUGAAGGGUGUUGCUGCGCAGGCGCUUGGAGUACCACGCCGCUGCUUGCAGGAGUGGUAGAGGCGUUCCGGAGUCGCAGUUCUCUAAAAUAGAGGAUAGAAGCAAAGGAUAAAAAAUGUGAAGACAAGAAGUACUAAAGAAUUGAAAUGGUUAAAAGACAAGAUGAAAAUUACUAUCCCAGUGAACCUGAAGUCAUUUCCUUGCAAUAAUCUGGCAUCUCAGGAGUCUGUCCUUUUCAGGGAGAGGCAUUUAGACAAGGAGGAAUGGCUGCUUCAGCCCUGACAGAGCGUCAAGGUGAUACAUGGGAAGCACCCAGAGCGGUGCUGUCACAAUCGUCAUUACCAGGGACCGUUUGGAGAAGUGGAUGCUGGCGACGUUGCAGCAGGAUCUCUCACACCUCUCAGCACCGGUGCUGCUCCCUAAAGUGCUGCAUCCACAGGACUCUGCUCUUCAAGAGAGGGUCUCCGUGAAGGAGAGGAUAACCACCGCACUUCCUGAAGGCAUGAACACUGGUGAGUCAGGAUUUCAUUUUUCCUUCUCUGCAGUGAGACCGUUGCCAG